rnacentral:rRNA from 1 species
UCCGAAGGGGGCUAUCGUUGUUCGGAAUCACUGGGCGUAAAGCGCACGUAGGCGGACCUAUAAGUCAGGGGUGAAAUCCCGGGGCUCAACCUCGGAACUGCCUUUGAUACUGUUGGUCUCGAGACCGGAAGAGGUGAGUGGAAUUCCUAGUGUAGAGGUGAAAUUCGUAGAUAUUAGGAAGAACACCAGUGGCGAAGGCGGCUCACUGGUCCGGUUCUGACGCUGAGGUGCGAAAGCGUGGGGAGCAAACAGG